rnacentral:rRNA from 2 species
UACGGAGGGUGCAAGCGUUAAUCGGAAUUACUGGGCGUAAAGCGCACGCAGGCGGUCUGUCAAGUCGGAUGUGAAAUCCCCGGGCUCAACCUGGGAACUGCAUUCGAAACUGGCAGGCUGGAGUCUUGUAGAGGGGGGUAGAAUUCCAGGUGUAGCGGUGAAAUGCGUAGAGAUCUGGAGGAAUACCGGUGGCGAAGGCGGCCCCCUGGACAAAGACUGACGCUCAGGUGCGAAAGCGUGGGGAGCAAACAGG